AUUUAUAUAAUUUAAUAAAAUAUUAUAUUUUCAUUAUAAAAAUAAGAUAAAACUUCUUUAUAAAUA
rnacentral:tRNA from 1 species